AGUAAAAGUCGUAACAAGGUCUCCGUAGGUGAACCUGCGGAGGGAUCAUUACAAGUGACCCCGGUCUAACCACCGGGAUGUUCAUAACCCUUUGUUGUCCGACUCUGUUGCCUCCGGGGCGACCCUGCCUUCGGGCGGGGGCUCCGGGUGGACACUUCAAACUCUUGCGUAACUUUGCAGUCUGAGUAAACUUAAUUAAUAAAUUAAAACUUUUAACAACGGAUCUCUUGGUUCUGGCAUCGAUGAAGAACGCAGCGAAAUGCGAUAAGUAAUGUGAAUUGCAGAAUUCAGUGAAUCAUCGAAUCUUUGAACGCACAUUGCGCCCCCUGGUAUUCCGGGGGGCAUGCCUGUUCGAGCGUCAUUUCACCACUCAAGCCUCGCUUGGUAUUGGGCAACGCGGUCCGCCGCGUGCCUCAAAUCGACCGGCUGGGUCUUCUGUCCCCUAAGCGUUGUGGAAACUAUUCGCUAAAGGGUGUUCGGGAGGCUACGCCGUAAAACAACCCCAUUUCUAAGGUUGACCUCGGAUCAGGUAGGGAUACCCGCUGAACUUAAGCAUAUCAAUAAGCGGAGGAAAAGAAACCAACAGGGAUUGCCCAGUAACG
rnacentral:rRNA from 1 species